rnacentral:rRNA from 1 species
UACGUAGGUGGCGAACGUUAUCCGGAAUCAUUGGGCGUAAAGGGUGCGUAGAUGGUCUGACAAGUUAGCGGUGGUAAAUCGAGGCCUAACCUCGUGGAAGCUGGUAAUACUGUCAAACUAGAGGACCGGAGAGGUUAACGGAACUCCCGGUGGAGCGGUAAAAUGCACAGAUAUCGGGAAGAACACCAAUACGGCGAAGGCAGUUAACUAGUCGGCUCCUGACAUUGAGGCACGAAAGCGUGGGGAGCAAAAAGG